AAUGAACGUUGGCGGCGUGGAUUAGGCAUGCAAGUCGAGCGGGUGCAGCAAUGCACCAGCGGCGGAAGGGUGAGUAAGGCGACGGCAACCAACCCCGAGGAUGGGUAUAGCCGCGGGAAACUGCGGGUAAUCCCCAGCGAUGCGAGGGCGUCGGCAUCGACGCUUCGCCAAAUGGAUUCGUCCGCCUCGGGACGGGCCGUCGUGGUAUUAGGUCGUUGGCGGGGUAGCGGCCCACCAAGCCUUCGAUGCCUACCGGGCGUGCGAGCGCGGCCCGGCACACUGGGACUGAGACACUGCCCAGACUCCUACGGGAGGCUGCAGUCGAGAAUCUUCGGCAAUGGGCGCAAGCCUGACCGAGCGACGCCGCGUGGAGGACGAAGGCCUUCGGGUUGUAAACUCCUGUCGAGGGGGAGAAAGGCUCCGCGAGGGGCUUGAUCGAUCCCUGGAGGAAGCACGGGCUAAGUUCGUGCCAGCAGCCGCGGUAACAC
rnacentral:rRNA from 1 species